ACACAUCCACAAUCUUAUUACUAGCUGUCAGGGAAAAAAUGCAAAUAAAACAAAAUCAAUAAUGCUACACCCAAAUUCAGGAGAGCACAAUAAACAUUUACUACUGUUCUGUUCAAGCUUGAAGGAAGAAUGCGUUCUCCUGGGGAAAAAAUGUUUGUGUCAAAUGGCUCUUAAAAUAUAUACAAUCAAUAAUGACAUGCAUAACAAAAAAAAAAACACAAACAAAUCCCAAGAGAAGAAAUUAAAUCCAUUUAAGUGGUAUCUACAAAUCUUGCCUAUGAUAAAAAUAGCAAAAAGUUCACAAGUGCAAGUUGCCAUAUUAUACACCGUUUUCUAAAUUCUUGUGCUAAGUAAAUUCUUUGUUGUGUGAUCUGCUCCUCGCCACAUUUGUUGCUGCUAUUGUCAGGAAACUUGAAAGCAAGUUUAAAAAAGUCAAAUACAACAACAAAAGCAUUUGAAUACUCACCUUUUACUACAGAGCCUUCAGAACAAUGCUUAAAGCAAAUGAAAUGUCAACCCAAGAACAAAAAAGCAAAACAAGAUUUUUCAAAUUAUUUUAUUAUAGUCAUUUUUCCUUUUCCCCUUAUUUUAUCAUGGAUAAUAUGGACGGAGCUGGGCACCCCCCACUGAAAAAAGCUACAGUAAAUUAAUGCCAUGAGCAACAUUAAUGGAAACCAAAAUUAAUUGGCGACACAUGGGACAACGAACUAUGAACUUGAAAUGCAAACACGACUUCAGCAAUCUACGCAACGCUUUGUUUUUCAGUGCGCAGCACGCAGAAACCGUGUAUUUCCAGGAAACCAUAGUAGCUCGACAAAAUUGUAAUCAGCCCAGGGGAUUCAGUCGGCCUAAUUAUUAACUGCAUAAUUUUUAAUGCUGGCGACCAACAACUACCGAACUUGCGUUCUAUAAGUGUCCACACUAUAAAACACACACGAUAUGCAGACAAAUAUUAAUAAUAAAAAUUAUAUUCACAGGAAUGAGCCUAACUAAUACAUGCGAAAGAAAGCUUCUCAGACCAACAUUUAUUCGUCCAACCGCCAACAGUCACACUCGCUGAUCCAACGCGUUUGGAAAAAAAAGGCGGGCUUGUAGGUAUGUGAGAGGACAG